CAGUCGCCGCGGGAAAACGAAGGGGGCUAGCGUUGUUCGGAAUCACUGGGCGUAAAGGGUGCGUAGGCGGGCAUUUAAGUCAGGGGUGAAAUCCCGAGGCUCAACCUCGGAACUGCCCUUGAUACUGGAUGUCUUGAGUCCGGAAGAGGUGAGUGGAACUGCGAGUGUAGAGGUGAAAUUCGUAGAUAUUCGCAAGAACACCGGUGGCGAAGGCGACUCUCUGGUCUGUAACUGACGCUGAGGAGCGAAAGCGUGGGGAGCGAACAGGAUUAGAUACCCGAGUAGUCCCUGUCUCUUAUAC
rnacentral:rRNA from 1 species